rnacentral:rRNA from 1 species
CCUACGGGUGGCUGCAGUGGGGAAUAUUGGACAAUGGGCGAAAGCCUGAUCCAGCCAUGCCGCGUGUGUGAAGAAGGCCUUCGGGUUGUAAAGCACUUUCAGUGGGGAAGAAAGCCUUGGGGCUAAUACCCUCGAGGAAGGACAUCACCCACAGAAGAAGCACCGGCUAACUCCGUGCCAGCAGCCGCGGUAAUACGGAGGGUGCGAGCGUUAAUCGGAAUUACUGGGCGUAAAGCGCGCGUAGGCGGUCUGAUAAGCCGGUUGUGAAAGCCCCGGGCUCAACCUGGAACGGCAUCCGGAACUGUCAGGCUAGAGUGCAGGAGAGGAAGGUAGAAUUCCCGGUGUAGCGGUGAAAUGCGUAGAGAUCGGGAGGAAUACCAGUGGCGAAGGCGGCCUUCUGGACUGACACUGACGCUGAGGUGCGAAAGCGUGGGUAGCAAACAGGAUUAGAUACCCGUGUAGUC